AGAGUUUGAUCCUGGCUCAGGAUGAACGCUGGCGGCGUGCCUAACACAUGCAAGUCGAACGUUAUCCCGAUCUUCGGAAAGGGAGAAAGUGGCGAACGGGUGAGUAACACGUUGGUGACCUGUCCCGCAGCGGGGGAUAACUCUGGGAAACCAGAGCUAAUACCCCAGAUGUUUAAGGGUUUAGACGCCUUAAACUAAAACUCCGGUGCUGCGGGAGGGGCCUGCGGGCUAUCAGCUAGUUGGUGGGGUAAAGGCCUACCAAGGCGAAGACGGCUAGGGGGCGUGAGAGCGUGACCCCCCACAAGGGAACUGAGAAACGGUCCCUACUCCUACGGGAGGCAGCAGUGAGGAAUAUUGAGCAAUGGGCGCAAGCCUGACUCAGCAACGCCGCGUGGAUGAUGACGGCCUUCGGGUUGUAAAAUCCUUUUCUGGGGGAAGAUAAUGACGGUACCCCAGGAAUAAGUUCCGGCUAACUACGUGCCAGCAGCCGUGGUAAAACGUAUGGGACAAGCGUUAUCCGGAUUUACUGGGUGUAAAGCGCAUGUAGGUGGCUUGCCCAGUUGGACGUGAAAGCUCCUCGGCUUAACUGGGAGAGGUCGUUCCAAACUGGCAGU
rnacentral:rRNA from 1 species